rnacentral:ncRNA from 4 species
UCUAAUAUGGCAGAUUAGUGCAAUGGA